rnacentral:rRNA from 1 species
AUGUGAUCGUCUCUCGCAUAUCAAUAAGCGGAGGAAAAGAAACUAACAAGGAUUCCCCUAGUAACGGCGAGUGAAGCGGGAAGAGCUCAAAUUUGAAAUCUUAAAGGGUUUCCCUUUACGAAUUGUAGUUUAAAGAAGUGUUUUCUGUUGAGGUUUUGGUAAAAGUUCUUUGGAAUAGGACAUCAUAGAGGGUGAGAAUCCCGUAUUUGACCUUUACUUUCAACUUUGUGAUACACUUUCAAAGAGUCGGAUUGUUUGGGAAUGCAGUCCAAAAUGGGUGGUAAAUUUCAUCUAAAGCUAAAUAUUGGCGAGAGACCGAUAGCGAACAAGUACCGUGAGGGAAAGAUGAAAAGAACUUUGAAAAGAGAGUUAAACAGUACGUGAAAUUGUCAAAAGGGAAGCGUUUGACACCAGUGUUGUUUUUCUGAAAAUCAAUUAAAGAACUGUUUAUGCUAAGCUGUUUAGACUUUAUCAGCUAUCUGUUUAGUUUUAGGCUUUUCUUUAAUGCACUUUUCAGUUAACAAGUCAACAUCGAUUUCUUUUGCUGUAAAAAAGCUUGAGGAAGGUGGCUUGAGAUUCGUCUUAAGUGUUUAUAGCCUCUUGCCUAUGCAGUCGGAGAGAUUGAGGUCUGCAGCGUAGAUCCUUCGGGGCUAAAUGCAUUUGUGCUAAGUUAUAGCAUUUUAUAGACAACUUGUUGACUAUGAUUUGUCUUGUAGCUUACUCGCUUAUGUUAUUUUACCUACGCUUAGGAUGUUGAUCUACAGAGCGAGAGU